UACGGAGGGGGUUAGCGUUGUUCGGAAUUACUGGGCGUAAAGCGCGUGUAGGCGGCUAAGUAAGUCGGGCGUGAAAUCCCACGGCUCAACCGUGGAAGUGCACUCGAAACUGCAUAGCUAGAGUCCUGGAGAGGAAGGUGGAAUGCUUGGUGUAGAGGUGAAAUUCGUAGAUAUCAAGCGGAACACCGGUGGCGAAGGCGGCCUUCUGGACAGUGACUGACGCUGAGACGCGAAAGCGUGGGGAGCAAACAGG
rnacentral:rRNA from 1 species